rnacentral:rRNA from 1 species
CUACGGGAGGCUGCAGUCGGGAAUAUUGCGCAAUGGAGGAAACUCUGACGCAGUGACGCCGCGUAUAGGAAGAAGGUUUUCGGAUUGUAAACUAUUGUCGUUAGGGAAGAUAAAAGACAGUACCUAAGGAGGAAGCUCCGGCUAACUACGUGCCAGCAGCCGCGGUGAAUACGUAGGGAGCAAGCGUUAUCCGGAUUUAUUGGGUUUAAAGGGUCCGUAGGCGGAUCAUUAAGUCAGUGGUGAAAGCCGGCAGCUCAACUGUCGAACUGCCAUUGAUACUGGUGAUCUUGAAUACGGUUGAAGUUGGCGGAAUAGGUCAUGUAGCGGUGAAAUGCUUAGAUAUGACCUAGAACACCGAUUGCGAAGGCAGCCAACUAAGCCGUUAUUGACGCUGAGGGACGAAAGCGUGGGGAGCGAACAGGAUUAGAUACCCCGGUAGUC